rnacentral:pre_miRNA from 1 species
CAACUACUCCCUCUGUCCCAAAUUUCUUGUCUUAGAUUUGUCUAGAUACGGAUAUAUCUAAUACUAAAAUGUGACUUGAUACAUCCGUAUCUAGACAAAUCUAAGACAAGAAUUUUGGGAUGGAGGGAGUACUUU